rnacentral:rRNA from 1 species
GAUGAACGCUGGCGGCGUGCCUAAUACAUGCAAGUCGAGCGAACAGACGAGGUGCUUGUUCCUCUUACGUUAGCGGCGGACGGGUGAGUAACACGUGGAUAACCUACCUAUAAGACUGGGAUAACUUCUGGAAACCGGUGCUAAUACCGGAUAAUAUAUUUAACCGCAUGGUUCAAUAGUGAAAGACGGUUUUGCUUUCACUUAUAGAUGGAUCCGCUCCGCAUUAGCUAGUGGGUAAGGUAACGGCUUACCAAGGCAACGAUGCGUAGCCGACCUGAGAGGGUGAUCGGCCACACUGGAACUGAGAAACGGUCAAGACUCCUACGGGAGGCAGCAGUAGGGAAUCUUCCGAAAUGGGCGAAAGCUUGACGGAGCAACGCCGCGUGAGGGAGGAAGGUCUUCGGAUCGAAAAACUCUGUUAUUAGGGAAGAACAAAUGUGUAAGUAACUAUGCACGAAUUGACGGUACCUAAUCAGAAAGCCACGGCUAACUACGUG